rnacentral:rRNA from 1 species
UACGUAGGGUGCAAGCGUUAAUCGGAAUUACUGGGCGUAAAGCGUGCGCAGGCGGUUUUGUAAGUCUGACGUGAAAUCCCCGGGCUUAACCUGGGAAUUGCGAUGGUGACUGCAAGGCUAGAGUUUGGCAGAGGGGGGUAGAAUUCCACGUGUAGCAGUGAAAUGCGUAGAGAUGUGGAGGAACACCGAUGGCGAAGGCAGCCCCCUGGGUCAAAACUGACGCUCAUGCACGAAAGCGUGGGGAGCAAACAGG